GUCGAAGAAGCUCAGGUGGGAGAGCGUCCGGUUGAAGCCCGGAAGGAUGCCGGUUCGACGCCAGCCUUCGACA
rnacentral:tRNA from 1 species